AUUGAACGCUGGCGGCAUGCCUUACACAUGCAAGUCGAACGGUAACGCGGGGCAACCUGGAGACGAGUGGCGAACGGGUGAGUAAUGCAUCGGAACGUGCCCAGUAGUGGGGGAUAGCCCGGCGAAAGCCGGAUUAAUACCGCAUACGACCUACGGGUGAAAGCGGGGGAUCGCAAGACCUCGCGCUAUUGGAGCGGCCGAGGUCAGAUUAGGUAGUUGGGGGGGUAAAGGCCUAACCAGCCCACGAUCUGGAGCUGGUCUGAGAGGACGACCGGCCACACAGGGAAUGAACCACGGCACAGACUCCUACGGGAGGCAGCAGUGGGGAAUUUUGAACAAUGGGGGAACGCCUGAUCCAGCCAUGCCGCGUGCGGGAAGAAGUCCUUCGGGUUGGAAACCGCUUUUGUCGGGGAAGAAAUCCUCCGGGCUAAUACCCCGGGGGGAUGACGGUACCCGGAGAAUAAGCACCGGCUAACUACGUGCCAGCCGCCGCAGUAACAC
rnacentral:rRNA from 1 species